rnacentral:lncRNA from 1 species
GGAAAUUCCACAAAGAAAACAGAACACUCCAAAAGCGGGAAACUGACUUUACGUUUACCAGAUCCACCAGGUCAAAUGUGAAGGUUUUCAAAUCACCAACGAGUCUCAUUUCGUAUGUGGAAAAGAAAACAUAAAGAGAGAGAUACAUUUUCAGCAUCUUGUGUUGCUGAAAUAUUCAAUUUCUAGUAAUUUCUCCAUUGAGCAUGUAAUUUUUUAUUUGAGUGAUGACCAUGACUAUUUUCACUAUUGACAGCUUCAGUCCUACUGCCAACCGUGUUAGUUACUUUACUUGUUUAAAUCUGAGUUGUUGUAAAAAAAAAAAAAAAAAGUGAAGAAAAACACUCAUAAUUUUUCUCUCAUGUUUUCUUCUUAGUUUAUCUGUGAC